rnacentral:lncRNA from 1 species
GGAGGGUUUCGUGCCAGCAACCAUUUUUAAUGUUUUACAAACUCCAUGUGUCUGUCUCAAUUCAGGAGCUUGUAAUUCAGUAGUUUGUUGCUGUAUAUCAUAACAGUUUAUCGUUCAAUGUUUUGUUAAUAAAUCAGGCCCUAAGUUGUUCAUUGGUAAUUUCAAGUCCUUGACGUUGUAUAGCUCAUUGUUGAAGGAUGUACAGUUACCUAUGGUUGUUAA